rnacentral:rRNA from 1 species
GACGAACGCUGGCGGCGUGCUUAACACAUGCAAGUCGAACGGAAAGGCCCUGCUUUUGUGGGGUGCUCGAGUGGCGAACGGGUGAGUAACACGUGAGUAACCUGCCCUUGACUUUGGGAUAACUUCAGGAAACUGGGGCUAAUACCGGAUAGGAGCUCCUGCUGCAUGGUGGGGGUUGGAAAGUUUCGGCGGUUGGGGAUGGACUCGCGGCUUAUCAGCUUGUUGGUGGGGUAGUGGCUUACCAAGGCUUUGACGGGUAGCCGGCCUGAGAGGGUGACCGGCCACAUUGGGACUGAGAUACGGCCCAGACUCCUACGGGAGGCAGCAGUGGGGAAUAUUGCACAAUGGGCGGAAGCCUGAUGCAGCAACGCCGCGUGCGGGAUGACGGCCUUCGGGUUGUAAACCGCUUUCGCCUGUGACGAAGCGUGAGUGACGGUAAUGGGUAAAGAAGCACCGGCUAACUACGUGCCAGCAGCCGCGGUGAUACGUAGGGUGCGAGCGUUGUCCGGAUUUAUUGGGCGUAAAGGGCUCGUAGGUGGUUGAUCGCGUCGGAAGUGUAAUCUUGGGGCUUAACCCUGAGCGUGCUUUCGAUACGGGUUGACUUGAGGAAGGUAGGGGAGAAUGGAAUUCCUGGUGGAGCGGUGGAAUGCGCAGAUAUCAGGAGGAACACCAGUGGCGAAGGCGGUUCUCUGGGCCUUUCCUGACGCUGAGGAGCGAAAGCGUGGGGAGCGAACAGGCUUAGAUACCCUGGUAGUCCGCGCUGUAAACGGUGGGUACUAGGUGUGGGGUCCAUUCCACGGGUUCCGUGCCGUAGCUAACGCUUUAAGUACCCCGCCUGGGGAGUACGGCCGCAAGGCUAAAACUCAAAGGAAUUGACGGGGCCCCGCACAAGCGGCGGAGCAUGCGGAUUAAUUCGAUGCAACGCGUAGAACCUUACCUGGGUUUGACAUGGAUCGGGAGUGCUCAGAGAUGGGUGUGCCUCUUUUGGGGUCGGUUCACAGGUGGUGCAUGCCUGUCGUCAGCUCGUGUCGUGAGAUGUUGGGUUAAGUCCCGCAACGAGCGCAACCCUUGUUCACUGUUGCCAGCACGUUAUGGUGGGGACUCAGUGGAGACCGCCGGGGUCAACUCGGAGGAAGGUGGGGAUGACGUCAAGUCAUCAUGCCCCUUAUGUCCAGGGCUUCACGCAUGCUACAAUGGCUGGUACAGAGAGUGGCGAGCCUGUGAGGGUGAGCGAAUCUCGGAAAGCCGGUCUCAGUUCGGAUUGGGGUCUGCAACUCGACCUCAUGAAGUCGGAGUCGCUAGUAAUCGCAGAUCAGCAACGCUGCGGUGAAUACGUUCCCGGG